UACGUAGGGUGCGAGCGUUAAUCGGAAUUACUGGGCGUAAAGCGUGCGCAGGCGGUGAUGUAAGACCGAUGUGAAAUCCCCCGGGCUUAACCUGGGAACUGCAUUGGUGACUGCAUUGCUGGAGUAUGGCAGAGGGGGGUGGAAUUCCACGUGUAGCAGUGAAAUGCGUAGAGAUGUGGAGGAACAUCGAUGGCGAAGGCAGCCCCCUGGGCCAAUACUGACGCUCAUGCACGAAAGCGUGGGGAGCAAACAGG
rnacentral:rRNA from 1 species